AUCAGUAGAUAUUGGUCCUUCGUGGCUGAAAGUGGUUCCUAUUAUUAAAAAUGAAGACUGUGCUUGUGUUUUUGGUUGCAGCUGUAAGUGCUAUCGUGGUGCAAGGCCAAGUUUUUCCCCCAACUGCCCGCCGGGGGAGCAUUCAGUACUCUACUGCCCACAAAUGGCGGAACCAUCUUGCACCAAUCCUACGGUGCACCCAUUCAAGUUUCCAGGCCCUUGUGACAUACCCCAAUGCUUCUGUGACAUGCCUAAAGUAAGAAACACCAGGACCGGGAAAUGUGUAAAACUGGCUGAUUGUAGAUUUAGUUAAUAAAUAUAUAUUUUUGUUUAUCAA
rnacentral:lncRNA from 1 species